AGCCCAAACCAACAAGCUUGCUUGUUGGGGUUGUAGGACACUCUAUACGGAGUUACAAAAGAACAUGUUAGACGAAUCAUCUGGAAAGAUGAAUCAAAGAAGGUAAUAAUCCUGUAGUCGAAAACAUAUUCUCUCUUGAGUGGAUCCUGAGUACGACGGAGCACGUGAAAUUCCGUCGGAAUCUGGGAGGACCAUCUCCUAAGGCUAAAUACUCUCUAGUGACCGAUAGUGAACCAGUACCGUGAGGGAAAGGUGAAAAGUACCCCGGAAGGGGAGUGAAAGAGAACUUGAAACCGUGUGCUUACAAGUAGUCAGAGCCCGUUAAUGGGUGAUGGCGUGCCUUUUGUAGAAUGAACCGGCGAGUUACGAUCUGAUGCAAGGUUAAGCAGCAAAUGUGGAGCCGCAGCGAAAGCGAGUCUGAAUAGGGCGUUGAGUAUUUGGUCGUAGACCCGAAACCAGGUGAUCUACCCUUGGUCAGGUUGAAGUUCAGGUAACACUGAAUGGAGGACCGAACCGACUUACGUUGAAAAGUGAGCGGAUGAACUGAGGGUAGCGGAGAAAUUCCAAUCGAACUUGGAGAUAGCUGGUUCUCUCCGAAAUAGCUUUAGGGCUAGCCUCAAGUGAUGAUUAUUGGAGGUAGAGCACUGUUUGGACGAGGGGCCCCUCUCGGGUUACCGAAUUCAGACAAACUCCGAAUGCCAAUUAAUUUAACUUGGGAGUCAGAACAUGGGUGAUAAGGUCCGUGUUCGAAAGGGAAACAGCCCAGACCACCAGCUAAGGUCCCAAAAUAUAUGUUAAGUGGAAAAGGAUGUGGCGUUGCCCAGACAACUAGGAUGUUGGCUUAGAAGCAGCCAUCAUUUAAAGAGUGCGUAAUAGCUCACUAGUCGAGUGACACUGCGCCGAAAAUGUACCGGGGCUAAACAUAUUACCGAAGCUGUGGAUUGUCCUUUGGACAAUGGUAGGAGAGCGUUCUAAGGGCGUCGAAGCAUGAUCGCAAGGACAUGUGGAGCGCUUAGAAGUGAGAAUGCCGGUGUGAGUAGCGAAAGACGGGUGAGAAUCCCGUCCACCGAUUGACUAAGGUUUCCAGAGGAAGGCUCGUCCGCUCUGGGUUAGUCGGGUCCUAAGCUGAGGCCGACAGGCGUAGGCGAUGGAUAACAGGUUGAUAUUCCUGUACCACCUAGUAUCGUUUUAAUCGAUGGGGGGACGCAGUAGGAUAGGCGAAGCGUGCUGUUGGAGUGCACGUCCAAGCAGUAAGGCUGAGUGUUAGGCAAAUCCGGCACUCAUAAGGCUGAGCUGUGAUGGGGAGAGGAAAUUGUUUCCUCGAGUCGUUGAUUUCACACUGCCGAGAAAAGCCUCUAGAUAGAUAACAGGUGCCCGUACCGCAAACCGACACAGGUAGUCAAGAUGAGAAUUCUAAGGUGAGCGAGCGAACUCUCGUUAAGGAACUCGGCAAAAUGACCCCGUAACUUCGGGAGAAGGGGUGCUCUUUAGGGUUCACGCCCAGAAGAGCCGCAGUGAAUAGGCCCAAGCGACUGUUUAUCAAAAACACAGGUCUCUGCUAAACCGUAAGGUGAUGUAUAGGGGCUGACGCCUGCCCGGUGCUGGAAGGUUAAGAGGAGUGGUUAGCUUCUGCGAAGCUACGAAUC
rnacentral:rRNA from 1 species